GCAAACUUGGUCAUUUAGAGGAAGUAAAAGUCGUAACAAGGUUUCCGUAGGUGAACCUGCGGAAGGAUCAUUAACAAUUAUCCACGAUACUGGAUAAUUUUUAUCCAUAUCCACCUUGUGUGAAUCAGCGAAAUGUUUAUUGGCAGGUUAGCCUUCCUUUAUGGAAUGCUGCGAGUGUUAGACAUACAUAGUCUCGCUCGGCCUGCCAAUUUUUUAUUACGUUUAACCUGUCUAAAUAUUACUGGCCUGAAAUUACUAUUUUAUAAUAAUAAAAUACAACUUUCAACAACGGAUCUCUUGGCUCUCGCAUCGAUGAAGAACGCAGC
rnacentral:misc_RNA from 1 species